rnacentral:misc_RNA from 1 species
UGCGUUUCCUCAAUCGGAUCUCCGGUGGGCGAUUCAUUCGGCGGCUGCACUUCUUUCUUUCUCCGCCGCCGGUAGUCCGCCGCAGCGUCUGAGACGACUCUGCAUCAGUGCUAGCGCCGAUGAUGGUAGAACGACCCCUAAGCCCUCUGUUUGUACGGCAGAUGAGCUUCAUUACGUUCCUCUUCCCAACAAUGAAUGGAAUCUCUCCCUAUGGCGCUA